UACAGAGGUCCCAAGCGUUGUUCGGAUUCAUUGGGCGUAAAGGGUGUGUAGGUGGCGCCGUAAGUCGGGUGUGAAAUUUCGGAGCUUAACUCCGAAACUGCAUUCGAUACUGCGGUGCUUGAGGACUGGAGAGGAGACUGGAAUUUACGGUGUAGCAGUGAAAUGCGUAGAUAUCGUAAGGAAGACCAGUGGCGAAGGCGGGUCUCUGGACAGUUCCUGACACUGAGACACGAAGGCCGGGGGAGCAAACGGG
rnacentral:rRNA from 1 species